rfam:Fulmarus glacialis contig95037, whole genome shotgun sequence.
UAAGAGGUUGUUUUAACAACCACUUGAAGUAAGUGGAAAAAAGUCU